GGUUUGUGGGCUCAGUGGUGGAGCGCUUGCCUCCCAUGUAUGAGGCACUGGGUUUGAUCCUCAGCACCA
rnacentral:tRNA from 1 species